rnacentral:rRNA from 1 species
UACAGAGGGGGCAAGCGUUAUUCGGAAUUAUUGGGCGUAAAGGGCGCGUAGGCGGCUUGGCAAGUGGAUGGUGAAAUCCCUCGGCUUAACCGAGGAACUGCCAUCCAGACUGCUUUGCUUGAGGCCGGGAGAGGUGAGUGGAAUUCCCAGUGUAGCGGUGAAAUGCGUAGAUAUUGGGAGGAACACCAGUGGCGAAGGCGGCUCACUGGACCGGUUCUAACGCUGAUGCGCGAAAGCGUGGGGAGCAAACGGG